CCUUCCGAGGAGCGCUGCAACCCACCCUGGAUUCUCAAAUGGAUCAUCAAGGGCAAGGGCCAGGCUCGGAAGCUGGAGCCCCAACAAUUACAACGGCGCUCACUCACG
rnacentral:ncRNA from 2 species